CAUAGCUGUGUGUGGUUCUCCCGUGUCUCCUGGUGUAUUAGUUUCCCCCAGUUGAAUUUGCAUUGUUUUGUAUCACCUUUACUUCUGCUCAGCAAAUAAAGCUGCAUUUUUGAGUCAAGUUCCCAUUUUGAGCUCUAUCCAGGAGAAAGGGACUGCUGCCAAGAGCACGAUGAAAGGCUGCAUAAUUUUGUCUCCCGGGUUAUAAACCACACCGCCUGUUCCUUUGUCUCUCUUCCCUGAGGUCUGGUGUGUGAGCAGGUAAAUCUUACUACAGCUAUGAGGUCAUGCAACCGGCUUCGACUGGAUCUCUGGCUAGCACACCUGCUCUCCCUCGGCUUAUCAGCCAGCUGCAUAUUUAAGAGUCGUUCACUCAACAUCAGGUUAUACUGCUUCAGUAGUGCUAACAGCUUCCAGCCCAGCUUAGCGUCUUUGCGUCUGGUCUCCUCUUUAAUAUUCUCCAGUGGGCUCAGCUCUGGAACAGCUCCCUCUGCUGCACUCCAUCCAUCAUCAACAAAGUUCUCCCACUAGUUUUGUUCUUCAUCUGUAUGCUAAACGAUUCCAGUAACUUGUCACGUAAUUGUUAUAGGGUAACUGUCUGUUUAUGACUUUGUAAAUUAUCUAAACCUUCACUGUCACAUUUGCAGGUAGAAAAAAGCAAUAUCACCUGCUCUAUAAGAUUUUGCCACAAAAUGUAUUGCUAUAAUGUGUUAAGUGUAUUUUUAAUUCCUCUUGAAGAUGUAGUGCUAUCUCGUGAAAUUCAGUGUGUAUCGAUUACAUUUUUCAUGUAAAUGACCAAACCUUGCUCUUCAGUUUAUGAGCUACGGAAGAAUGUCCUCUUUUUUCUUUUCUUUUUUUGUCUCUCAUAAAAUUCUCCAGUAAAAAUAUUGUUUGGCAUCCUUGUUCCUUUUUCUGAAUUAUUGCAAAACAAGAUUAAUAAAUGAGGAUUUUGAAUAGGAACCAAGCAAAUUGCUCAGGACAAUGAAGUUUAAAUCAGUUCAUAUUUCUAUUCACAGUGAAGACCAUCCACUGAGCACUGAGGCCUCGUUAGAGCAGUAAUCAUUAAGGUUAUUAGGAAAUAAAUCUCCUUGUCUUAUCUUCAGUAAAAGUAUUCAAAUAAUAUUAAAUAUUAUCCCUGCGAUCUACAGCGCUGAA